GACGAACCGAGCGAACGUUGUUCGGAAUCACUGGGCUUAAAGGGCGCGUAGGCGGGCUGCCGCGUCCGGGGUGAAAUCCCACGGCUCAACCGUGGAACGGCCCCGGAUACGGGCGGCCUCGAGGGGGGUAGGGGCAUCUGGAACUGUGAGUGGAGCGGUGAAAUGCGUUGAUAUUCACAGGAACUCCGGUGGCGAAGGCGAGGUGCUGGACCCCUUCUGACGCUGAGGCGCGAAAGCCAGGGGAGCGAACGGG
rnacentral:rRNA from 1 species